AGAUGCUACCCCUGUGCAGAUACCCAUAGCCAUUAUGUUCGAGGAGUUCUCGUAACCAGCUCAGCAAACAGCCUGUGUGAUGUUCUCUCAGGGAGGGUUCACCCUCCUCUUUGCUGAAUUGCUUGCUCACUGACUGAGUCAUUUCACAACCAGAUGACAGAGUCAGGACACCACCGCCAGGCAGUUCCAGGAGCUGAGGCUGCAUUCAGCUUUCAUUCUGCCGCCCCAGCCUGUGAGAGCAGCUCCUUUCAGGACGUCAGUCCUCAGAAUCCAGCUGGACUGAAUUUUUAAUGGGCCUGUCGCUGUCCUAUCUACCCUGACAUCAAUGGCCAAGCUCCAAUCAACCUCAGUGGUGCAGGAUCAGACUGAAGGUGACUUGGCAAAACCUUUGUAGGCCUCCUCCCUUAUAACACCACCCUGAGCUUCUUGUUGAGUCCCGGCACCAAUGGAUUUGCAGACCCCUCUCUUCACAGUUGGCCGGUACUGCAGCCCCUCAGCCCCUGUGGCAAAGAACUUUUAAGAAGCUCUCCAUCAAGAAGCUGCAGAGGUUUCAUGCUGCAGCUUUGCUUGGGAUACGUAUAUUGAUAUCCGCUUGUGCUCAGCUCCCUGGGAACUUGGCAAGUGAUCUGCGAAAGGAAGCUCCAACACUUACACAGCGCUUCAGUGUCUGCCUCAGGUCCAGCAGCAUGUUGCCAAUCGAGCCCACGCUCCGCUUGAUGUGUUUGCUGCUGUUGAUCGCCUUCGGUAAGACUUCAUCCAGGUAAAAUCGGAUCAUGUCUGACACUGACUGGCAGCCCAAAUAACCCUGGCGGAAGAGGAGUGAGUUGCGUUAAUGACACGCCACCGCAACUGGAGGACACGGCAUAAGCAGCUGUCAGAUUCAGUCGUCAUCACUGGCCAGAGGUUUGGUUCUAUGGGUUCUGCUGUGCACCUUACAGAGUGCUUUCCACAGUGCUGUACUGCCAUCCUAUGAGGUUGGUAAAUAAGCACUAUUAUCCCUGCUUUACAGAUGGAGAAACUGAGGUGGAGAGAGGUGAAGCUAUUUGCCCAAGCCCACAGACAGCAACAGCAUCCUGGAAAUCUGGAGUUCUGACUCCCAGUCCUGUGCUCUGACCACUAGACCACACCAAGCUCGAAAACAGAAGGAGAGCAAUCUCAAAGGGAGUGACUAUCUCAGACAGAUGUUAGACAGGCAAAGAUACAAAGAAAUCAGUUUCAUAGGGAUAUGUAAAUAAUGUCUGCGAAGUUCAAGGGAACUGAAGAACAAAUAAAGAGCUGCUCACUGCUUUGAAUGGAUCUGCAGAGGAAGAAGUUGACAUGACAGGAACACCUGCCUGCUACAGGAGUUCUUACACCUUCCUCUGAAGUAUCUGGUGCUGGCCGCUGUCAGAGAUGGGAUACUGAGCUGGGUGAACCAUAGGUCUGACCCAGUCUGGCAAUUCAAAUGCUGUUUCAAUCAACAGUAAAAAAAGAAAGAAAGUUUGCAAAAUUAAGAAACAUAGGGCCAAACCGAUCCCUGCUAUAACUCUAUGAAGUCAAUGAGUUAUACCAGGGAUACUUUAAGCCUAUAGAGCCUUAUUUUCAGGACAUCCAGAUUGUACAUUUGGAUCAUCCUCACUUUGGUAAGUAAUUGUCCAAUUUGUGCACUUAUAUUUUUAUCUAAGUGACCAAGUAUAGGAUUUGGAUAUCCGAUGGAAGGCCCUCCUAGUACAAUACCUCAUCUGAUUUCUGUACUCUAAGAUAUGGCUUGACAUCCCAGGAAAAAUACAUUUGAAUAAAUUCACAUGAUCAGAAUAAAUGGAGACUCUGUUGGUUUUAUAAAAAUGAUUUUAUUUGGGGGUUAGAAUUUUGGCUCAUGGUAUUUUGUUUUAAUUCAGUAAAGCUCUAGAUCUGUAAAGGACAUUUGAUGGUAGUCUUGCAUUUACUUUUGCUAAGGUGCAACUAUUGGGCUCCUGGCUAGCUGCCAAUGUGGCUAUUCGAGGGUCGCACAUUUUGAGCAUCCCAGGCACUGGAGACAUGUUUCUCAUUUCCACCAACAUAACAACAGCACUUAGAGCACUUUUCACCCGAGGCUCUCAAAGAGCUUUACAAAGGAAGACAAAGUAUAAUUAUUGCCAUUUCACAUGUGGGGAAACUGAGGCACAGAGCGAGGCAGCGUCUUGCCUAAGGUCACCCAGACAGUCAGUGGCUGAGCCGAGAAUAGUAUCAAUCCACUCUUAAUAGUUCGGGAGCCGUUGUAGGUAAA